rnacentral:rRNA from 1 species
AACGAACGCUGGCGGCAUGCCUAACACAUGCAAGUCGAACGAGACCUUCGGGUCUAGUGGCGCACGGGUGCGUAACGCGUGGGAACCUGCCCUUAGGUUCGGAAUAACUCCCCGAAAGGGGUGCUAAUACCGGAUAAUGUCCUCGGACCAAAGAUUUAUCGCGUUUGGAUGGGCCCGCGUUGGAUUAGCUAGUUGGUAGGGUAAAAGCCUACCAAGGCGACGAUCCAUAGCUGGUCUGAGAGGAUGAUCAGCCACACUGGGACUGGGACACGGUGCAGACUCCUACGGGAGGCAGCAGUGGGGAAUAUUGGACAAUGGGCGAGAGCCUGAUCCAGCAAUGCCGCGUGAGUGAUGAAGGCCUUAGGGUUGUAAAGCUCUUUUACCCGGGAUGAUAAUGACAGUACCGGGAGAAUAAGCUCCGGCUAACUCCGUG